GACAAAAUGGACCAAGAGGCUCCAGAAGAAUAUGUCAACACUGAUAGACUGAAUUAUGGCACAACUGAGGUCUAUGAUGAUGCAACAACCAUGAGAGAAGAGCAUGGAGAAGAGGAGCCAAUUGAAGAUGAAAAAAGCGUGUGAUCAACUACUGCUUCUGCUGUUUCUUCUUAUAAUUGUUGUUGUUAUUU